AUGAGGUCUGCAGAGUUCAGUGGCAAAAUCCAGCAUUCUAGCUUGUAUAGGGUGCUCUUCCUCCGGUAUGAGCAGAUGCUCCGGGACCCCGUGAGCAACAUGAAGAAGCUGGCGGAGUUCAUGGGGUGCCCGUUCUCCGGCGAGGAGGAGGCGGCCGGGGUGGUGCAGUCCAUCGUGGAGCUAUGCAGCUUCGAGAGCUUGAAGAACAUGGAGGUGAACAAGACGGGCAGCCAAGGUCCGGCGGCACACGAGUCCUUCUUCCGGAAGGGUGUGGUAGGGGACUGGAGCAACCACAUGACGCCGGCGAUGCCGGAGCGGCUGGACAAGAUCGUCGAGGACGCACUGCAAGGCUCGGGGUUCAGCUUGACCAUCUCAGGGUCGUCCUCGUGA
rnacentral:rRNA from 1 species